GUCAUAACAAGCAUAAAGAUGUCAUAAAGUUUAGAGGCCAAACAAGUGAACAUUGGAGGAGGAAUCCAUUACUGGUUUAAGUCUCAGUUUCCAAAGGCCCAAGAACAAGGAGCUCCAAUGUUCGGGAUGCAAUGGCAGUACCCUCUGACUAGCACACUUUCUGUGGAUGUGGGAGAUUAUGUCUUAAUUCACAGAAAAAAGAAGCCUUUAAGACAGCAUUAUUUUUAACAUAUUUUGCUUCUGGCCAUCACAAAUUGAGCAGCUUUGCUCUAUCAUGCCCUUUCACCAUGACAUUCCUGCCUUAAAUCCAGUUGACCAUGGACUGAACCCUCUGAGCUGUGAGCCAAAUUAAACAUCUCCUUAUUUAAGUUGUGAGUGUCUGCUACUCUGUCCUGGCAAUAGAAAAGCUGAUCAAUGCACAUAUUAAUCUUUACCUAUGCUUACUUAACUGAAAAUGUGAAUUAAGUAUACUAUACUACAUUCUUUUCAUAAAGCAUUUCUGGUAGAUCCUAAAACAUGUUAUAUUUCAUUUUAGGUAUACUUCUCUAUUGUGAAUGAAGACAUUUUUUAGGGAGGAAAAUAGAGAGGCC
rnacentral:lncRNA from 1 species